CGGGAAAGGCGGGAUCCUGGGCUGUGUCCCGGCGCCCUGUGCUCCGGAGCCUGCGCUGUGGAUUCGCGCUCCAGCCCCGCAGCCCCCU
rnacentral:pre_miRNA from 1 species